rnacentral:lncRNA from 1 species
AAAAGACCGCCGUUAGGUCUUCCACUUUAUUUGUGGGAUACCCUUGUGGAGGCUCACCCUAAAUUGCUUAAUUAAUUUUAAUGUGUUAAUUUUAAUAAUUAAUUUUAAUGUGUUAAUUUUAAUAAUUAAUUUUAAUGUAUUAAUUUUAAUGUAUUAUUUUUAAUGUAUUGAUUUUAAUGUGGAGAUUCAUCAUAAUCACCUAAUUAACUUUAAAAUGUGGCCUUUAAAUAUGUG